GUUUGAUUCUGGCUCAGGAUGAACGCUGGCGGCAUGCCUAAUACAUGCAAGUCGAACGGAGUGAAGCCUUCGGGUUUCAUUCAGUGGCGAACGGGUGAGUAAUACGCAGGGAACCUGGCCAUGGCAGGGGGAUACGCUCUGGAAACGGAGCAUAAGACCCCAUAGGCAGUAAGGCGGCAUCGCCUUACUGUUAAAGAAAGCUGAAAGGCUUUGGCGAUGGAUGGACCUGCGGUGCAUUAGCUUGUUGGUGAGGCAACGGCUUACCAAGGCGAUGAUGCAUAGCCGGCCUGAGAGGGCGGACGGCCACACUGGGACUGAGACACGGCCCAGACUCCUGCGGGAGGCAGCAGUAGGGAAUUUUCGUCAAUGGGCGCAAGCCUGAACGAGCAAUGCCGCGUGAGUGAGGAAGGUCUUCGGACUGUAAAGCUCUGUUGCCGGGGAAAAAGGGGAAAUGCAGGAAAUGGCAUUUCAUGGAUGGUACCCGGCCAGAAAGCCACGGCUAACUACGUGCCAGCAGCCGCGGUAAUACGUAGGUGGCGAGCGUUAUCCGGAAUGAUUGGGCGUAAAGGGUGCGCAGGCGGUCUGUUAAGUCUGAAGGCAAAGGGAUGAGCUCAACUCAUUUAUGAUUCAGAAACUGGCAGACUUGAGGACAGGAGAGGGCGGUGGAACUCCAUGUGUAGCGGUAAAAUGCGCAGAGAUAUGGAAGAACACCAGUGGCGAAGGCGGCCGCCUGGCCUGUGACUGACGCUGAGGCACGAAAGCGUGGGGAGCAAAUAGGAUUAGAUACCCUAGUAGUCCACGCCGUAAACGAUGAGGAGCAGGUGUUGGGAGUGAAAUCUCAGUGCCGAAGCCAACGCAGUGACUCCUCCGCCUGGGGAGUAUGCACGCAAGUGUGAAACUCAAAGGAAUUGACGGGGGCCCGCACAAGCGGUGGAGUAUGUGGUUUAAUUCGAAGCAACGCGAAGAACCUUACCAGGUUUUGACAUCGGAUGCGAGGGCGCAGAGAUGCGCUGGAGGCUAUCAUCCAGACAGGUGGUGCAUGGUUGUCGUCAGCUCGUGUCGUGAGAUGUUCAGUUAAGUCUGGCAACGAGCGCAACCCCCGUGGUAUGUUACUAACGCAUUUGGGCGAGGACUCAUAUCAGACUGCCGGUGACAAACCGGAGGAAGGCGGGGAUGACGUCAAAUCAUCAUGCCCCUUAUGACCUGGGCUACACACGUACUACAAUGGCGUCUACAGAGGGAAGCGACCCUGAGAAGGGAAGCGAAACCGGAAAAGGGCGUCCCAGUUCGGAUUGAAGUCUGCAACCCGACUUCAUGAAGAUGGAAUCGCUAGUAAUCGCGGAUCAGCAUGCCGCGGUGAAUACGUUCCCGGGCCUUGUACACACCGCCCGUCAAACCAUGGAAGCCGGCAACGCCCGAAGCCGGUGGCAUAACCUUUUAGGAGUGAGCCGUCGAAGGCGGGGCCGAUGACUGGGGUUAAGUCGUAACAAGGUACCC
rnacentral:rRNA from 1 species